rnacentral:rRNA from 1 species
GACGAACGCUGGCGGCGUGCUUAACACAUGCAAGUCGAACGGAAAGGCCCUGCUUUUGUGGGGUGCUCGAGUGGCGAACGGGUGAGUAACACGUGAGUAACCUGCCCUUGACUUUGGGAUAACUUCAGGAAACUGGGGCUAAUACAGGAUAGGAGCUGCUGCUGCAUGGUGGGGGUUGGAAAGUUUCGGCGGUUGGGGAUGGACUCGCGGCUUAUCAGCUUGUUGGUGGGGUAGUGGCUUACCAAGGCUUUGACGGGUAGCCGGCCUGAGAGGGUGACCGGCCACAUUGGGACUGAGAUACGGCCCAGACUCCUACGGGAGGCAGCAGUGGGGAAUAUUGCACAAUGGGCGGAAGCCUGAUGCAGCAACGCCGCGUGCGGGAUGACGGCCUUCGGGUUGUAAACCGCUUUCGCCUGUGACGAAGCGUGAGUGACGGUAAUGGGUAAAGAAGCACCGGCUAACUACGUG